UACGUAGGGUCCGAGCGUUGUCCGGAAUUACUGGGCGUAAAGAGCUCGUAGGUGGUUUGUCGCGUUGUCCGUGAAAACUCACAGCUUAACUGUGGGCGUGCGGGCGAUACGGGCAGACUGGAGUACUGCAGGGGAGACUGGAAUUCCUGGUGUAGCGGUGGAAUGCGCAGAUAUCAGGAGGAACACCGGUGGCGAAGGCGGGUCUCUGGACAGUUCCUGACGCUGAGGCACGAAGGCCAGGGGAGCAAACGGG
rnacentral:rRNA from 1 species